rnacentral:rRNA from 1 species
GAACCUGCCUCAUACUCGGGAAUAGCCUUGCGAAAGUAAGAUUAAUGCCCGAUGUUUUCAGCGGUCCGCAUGAACUGCUGAACAAAGAUUUAUCGGUAUGAGAUGGCGAUGCGUCCCAUUAGCUUGUUGGCGGGGUAACAGCCCACCAAGGCAUCGAUGGGUAGGGGUUCUGAGAGGAAGGUCCCCCACAUUGGAACUGAGACACGGUCCAAACUCCUACGGGAGGCAGCAGUGAGGAAUAUUGGUCAAUGGACGCAAGUCUGAACCAGCCAAGUAGCGUGCAGGACGACGGCCCUCCGGGUUGUAAACUGCUUUUAGUUGGGAAUAAAGUGCAGCUCGUGAGCUGUUUUGUAUGUACCAUCAGAAAAAGGACCGGCUAAUUCCGUGCCAGCAGCCGCGGUAAUACGGAAGGUCCAGGCGUUAUCCGGAUUUAUUGGGUUUAAAGGGAGCGCAGGCGGACUCUUAAGUCAGUUGUGAAAUACGGCGGCUCAACCGUCGGACUGCAGUUGAUACUGGGAGUCUUGAGUGCACACAGGGAUGCUGGAAUUCAUGGUGUAGCGGUGAAAUGCUCAGAUAUCACGAAGAACUCCGAUUG